rnacentral:tRNA from 1 species
CGAAGCCGAGGUUCUCCUGGGUCUGGAGCUGUCCGUUGUUGCCGGGCACACCGGCGGAGGUGACGGUGAGGUUCGAGGCCGAGGGUGUGGC